GGCGGUGAGACUUGAGUAAGUGCCUGUGGGGGGCCUGAGGCAUGCGCAGCUCUGCCAGGGCUGUUGUGUCGCAGAGCCCGUGUCCUGGGCUGUACCUGUCAGACUCGGCAGUACUUGUGGGGCAGCAGCAAACUGAGGCCAGGAUAGAUGUUCACCUUCCUUGUCCUCAUGCCUCUGGCUCAUACCUGUCUCUUGAAGCCCCCACCCCACUCAAGAAAGACCCACACUGGACCUCUGGGGCUCCCAACACCACUCUCAGCCAGCCUCACCUGGCUGCCUGGCUGCUUUGUCCAAACUGCCUGCCUCUCCGUGAGGGUCGUGUUAGGCAGCGUCCACAAGCUGGGCACUGUGCUGGCCCUCCGGCCAGUCAGAAGGCCUCAGGGUCCUCAGUGAUGCCAGGUCCUGUGCCCACUGAGUCCUGUGCUAGUGGGGGUGGCCUAUGUGGGUCCAGGGAUCGUACAGAUAAAAGGAUAAUUGUGACCCAGGCUGUGAAAGAGGGACAUGAGGUGCUUUGAGUGGUUGGAGAGGCCAGGGGAGGCUUGGCCUCUGGCAAGGGCUGUGAGGGAAGGGUUCAUGGUGCAGGGCAGGGGGAGCGUGCUGGGGGCAGAGAGCAGAGCUGCGUACACAGGGUCGUGCUUGUUACUACAGAAGCAACAGGAAAGCACUGGAGUGUUUUUAAAACCAGAGGUGGGUGGCUGAGGUGUGAGGCGAGCAGAUCUGCAUUUUGAGGCUCCCCUCCUGCAGUGUGGACAGAGAAUUGCAGGCGGGGACGAGGGAGCUGGGGAGGAGAGAGCUGUAGGGUUGGUGGUGGGCUGUGUGUGAGGGGUGGGGGGGCCCGAGGCCGGCUCCUGGGCUCCAGGCUGGAGGAGGCCUGCCACCAAGACUGGGCACUCCGCAGGUUGGAGGUGCCGGGGAGGUCUGGGCGGAGGUGUCAGUUGAGUCCGUGCACUUGGCUCUGGGCAGUGGUCUGAGCGGAAGGGGGAGGCCUGGGUGGCAUCUGUGUUUAUGUGGCACCUGCAGAGGGAUGAGAGUGCCCUGAGUGGGAGAGAAGGAUUGAGAGCAGAGGCAGAGGGAGCCUGAGGAAGGACCAGAACCUGCGAGGAGACGGGGGAGCACCUGGUGGGAGGAAGGAAGCCCUGAGAACUAGGCUAGAGGGCGUCCAGGGAACACGGGAAGGGUCUGAGAAGACGUGGCUGACACAUACCUGUGGAUUUGGGUCGUGAGACCUUCAGGAGCUUGCAGGGUGUCUGCUGCCUGAAGCUACACGUGAAAGAAGGUGGGAGGCGAGGAAGGAGCCUGCAAGGGCUCUUCCAGGAAGCGUGGCUCGGGGGGUGGGGACCAGAGCUGGCUGGGGUGGGGUUGAGGAUGCCACUGAAGAGAAAAUGUGGGGCCUGCAUACAUGGGAGGAUCCUAUUUCCCACUUUCUCUUCUCCCUGCCUUCUUGGAAGCCCCAUUUCCUGGUCUUCAUCCACUUUUCCCCCCUGUUUGGUUUAUUAAACAUUAGGCUCCAGACAUUGGCCUGAGCUCUGGGGGUCGAGAGGUAAAUCAGACGGGGCUACUGUCCCCUUAGAUCCCUAAGGAGCCGUGCUCGAGGGCAAGGCAGUCACAUGGUUCCCUUGCUCGGGCAAAACGAUGGUGACACAGCUUCCCAGGGACAGUGAGGUCAGGGCUACCCUUACUGAGGAGGGGACAGGUGUCCCAGGCAGAGGGACCAGCCUGGACAGAGUCCUGUGUUUGGGCUGUGACCUCCCCCUCCACUGAGAAACCCCCUCUGUGCUGCCUCCACAGCGUGUGUGUGUGUGUGUGUGUGUGUGUGGGGGGGACAGAAUGAGACAGGAUGGGAGCGAGGAGGAAGCUGGAAGGGAAUUGUCAUGGGAGGUGUUUUGAUCACCCAAGCAUAGUAGUUUAUGCUUGUUUUACAAAUUUUGGAGAGCAGUGAAAAAGUAAAGAAGCAAAAAAAAAAAAAAAAAAAGUCACCUGUAACCCUUCCACCCAGGGACAGGGCCUGUCACCAUUUUGACAUCUUUCUCUCUAUGCUUUUUCUAUACGUGUAGGAAUCAUACUCUCAAUGUUAGUUUUUUGUUCCACAUAAUAAACAUUUUCUCUAAUUCAUCAAAAAUUUAAUAAAUGUCAUGGGAAAUAUUUAAUCAUAUAGAUUCACAGUUUUCUCAGUGGAGCUCCUACUCUCA